CACCGCGGUUAUACGAGAGGCCCAAGUUGAAAGACACCGGCGUAAAGCGUGGUUAAACUAAAAUUUAAAUUAAAGUUAAACAUCUUCAAGGCUGUUAUACGCACCCGAAGACAGGAACCUCAAUUACGAAAGUAACUUUAUACAAGCUGAACCCACGAAAGCUAUGGCA
rnacentral:rRNA from 2 species